rnacentral:snoRNA from 1 species
AAGACCGUACUUGAACAAGAUCAUUUUCUAUACAGCUGUCAUCUUUACUUUGUUUUCCAAAGAAGACGUUACCAAAAAUUUUGAGGAUCGGACGCGACCCCCUUCGUGGACUCGGGAUGUCGUCGCACGUGCUGAGGAAGCAAGUCCGGGCCGUCGCUGUUGAGGAACGUCCGCUGUGGUUAAUUCCAAGACAGUGUGAGCGGAGGUGGGUGGUAUGAGAAGU